CGUUGCUCGGAAUUAUUGGGCGUAAAGGGCGCGUAGGCGGCUUGGCAAGUGGAUGGUGAAAUCCCUCGGCUUAACCGAGGAACUGCCAUCCAGACUGCUUUGCUUGAGGCCGGGAGAGGUGAGUGGAAUUCCCAGUGUAGCGGUGAAAUGCGUAGAUAUUGGGAGGAACACCAGUGGCGAAGGCGGCUCACUGGACCGGUUCUGACGCUGAUGCGCGAAAGCGUGGGGAGCAAACGGG
rnacentral:rRNA from 1 species